UACGUAGGGUGCGAGCGUUGUCCGGAAUUAUUGGGCGUAAAGAGCUCGUAGGCGGUGUGUCGCGUCGGCCGUGAAAACCUGGGGCUUAACUCUGGGCGUGCGGUCGAUACGGGCAUCACUAGAGUUCGGCAGGGGAGACUGGAAUUCCUGGUGUAGCGGUGAAAUGCGUAGAUAUCAGGAGGAACACCUGUGGUGUAGACGGCUCUCUGGACCGCAACUGACGCUGAGACACGAAAGCGUGGGUAGCAAACAGG
rnacentral:rRNA from 1 species